GCCUGCCUGGCUUAGUUGGUAGAGCAUGUGACUUUUGAUCUCAGCGUCUUGAGUUCAAGCCCCACAUUAGGCA
rnacentral:tRNA from 1 species